rnacentral:rRNA from 1 species
AACGAACGCUGGCGGCAUGCCUAACACAUGCAAGUCGAACGAGACCUUCGGGUCUAGUGGCGCACGGGUGCGUAACGCGUGGGAACCUGCCUUUAGGUUCGGAAUAACUCAGAGAAAUUUGAGCUAAUACCGGAUGAUGUCUUCGGACCAAAGAUUUAUCGCCUUUAGAUGGGCCCGCGUUGGAUUAGCUAGUUGGUAGGGUAAAGGCCUACCAAGGCGACGAUCCAUAGCUGGUCUGAGAGGAUGAUCAGCCACACUGGGACUGAGACAUGGCCCAGACUCCUACGGGAGGCAGCAGUGGGGAAUAUUGGACAAUGGGCGAAAGCCUGAUCCAGCAAUGCCGCGUGAGUGAUGAAGGCCUUAGGGUUGUAAAGCUCUUUUACCCGAGAUGAUAAUGACAGUAUCGGGAGAAUAAGCUCCGGCUAACUCCGUG